UUAUGUUUUGAUGGGCCAAUUUGGGAAUAAUAACAUUUUCGGAACCCAACUUUCCAUAAUCCAAGAUAUGUCCACUGUUUGGAAAAAUAUUAAAGGAAACAUGCACUAUCUACUGUUUUAAAAUGCUAUUCCAAAAUUGCCCUUUAGUUGUCCCUGUCAGCAGCCACCGUCUCUCACUCGGGCAUCAAGGAGCCAUUUUCUGAAGUUGGCCUCCAAACGAGAGAAUCCCUAAAAAAGCCCUAUUUUUUCCUCUACCAUUCUCAAUCCUCACAGAUACUAAUCUAAUCAAGUUAUUAUUACUUUUUUUGCAACCCCCGUUUGAUUCCCAAGAAAAUCCACCCCCAUUCGAUUUCCGGGAAAAUCCAUCCUCGUUUGAUUUCCGAGGCCCUUUUCUGAAGUUGGCCUCCAAACGAGAGAAUCCCUAAAAAAGCCCUAUUUUUUCCUCUGCCAUUCUCAAUCCUCGCAGAUUUUGCAUCCUGCGUGGGCUGGUAGGAAAUAUCGGGACCUUUCACAGGGACGAUGAACAAUGGAGGGGUAUUUUCGGUAUGAAAUAACACCUCAGACCAGAAUGCAUGUUUCCUUUAAUAUUUUUCCAAACAGUGGACAUAUCUUGCAUUAUGGAAAGUUGGGUUCCGAAAAUGUUAUUAUUCCCAAA